rnacentral:rRNA from 1 species
CGGCGGACGGGUGAGUAAUGCCUAGGAAUCUGCCUGGUAGUGGGGGACAACGUUUCGAAAGGAACGCUAAUACCGCAUACGUCUUACGGGAGAAAGUGGGGGAUCUUCGGACCUCACGCUAUCAGAUGAGCCUAGGUCGGAUUAGCUAGUUGGUGAGGUAACGGCUCACCAAGGCGACGAUCCGUAACUGGUCUGAGAGGAUGAUCAGUCACACUGGAACUGAGACACGGUCCAG